rnacentral:rRNA from 1 species
CUACGGGUUGCAGCAGUGGGGAAUAUUGCACAAUGGGGGAAACCCUGAUGCAGCAACGCCGCGUGGAGGAUGACGCAUUUCGGUGUGUAAACUCCUUUUAUAAGGGAAGAUAAUGACGGUACCUUAUGAAUAAGCACCGGCUAACUCCGUGCCAGCAGCCGCGGUAAUACGGAGGGUGCAAGCGUUACUCGGAAUCACUGGGCGUAAAGGAUGCGUAGGCUGUCAAAUAAGUCAGGAGUGAAAUCCAACGGCUCAACCGUUGAACUGCUCUUGAAACUGUAUGACUAGAAUAUGGGAGAGGUAGAUGGAAUUGGUGGUGUAGGGGUAAAAUCCGUAGAUAUCACCAGGAAUACCGAUUGCGAAGGCGAUCUACUGGAACAUUAUUGACGCUGAGGCAUGAAAGCGUGGGGAGCAAACAGGAUUAGAUACCCUCGUAGUC